GGUUAGUCCUCGGCUCAGGAUGAACGCUGGCGGCGUGCUUAACACAUGCAAGUCGAGCGAAGCACUCUGUCUGAUUCUUCGGAUGAAGACAGUUGACUGAGCGGCGGACGGGUGAGUAACGCGUGGGGAACCUGCCUUACACAGGGGGAUAACAGUUAGAAAUGGCUGCUAAUACCGCAUAACCCGCCGGGGUCGCAUGACUCUGACGGAAAAGAUUGUAUCGGUGUAAGAUGGACCCGCGUCUGAUUAGCUGGUUGGUGAGGUAACGGCUCACCAAGGCGACGAUCAGUAGCCGACCUGAGAGGGUGAUCGGCCACAUUGGGACUGAGACACGGCCCAAAACUCCUACGGGAGGCAGCAGUGGGGAAUAUUGCACAAUGGGGGAAACCCUGAUGCAGCAACGCCGCGUGAGUGAAGAAGUAUUUCGGUAUGUAAAGCUCUAUCAGCAGGGAAGAAAUUGACAGUACCUGACUAAGAAGCCCCGGCUAACUACGUG
rnacentral:rRNA from 1 species